rnacentral:rRNA from 1 species
AAAAGCACUUUGAAAAGAGAGUGCAAGAGAACGUGAAACCGUUAUAGUGGAAGCGGAUAGAGUCGACGUAUCCAGUGCGUAUUCAGCCAAUUUUUGGAGUAAUUUGUUGGCGUAGAGUUCUGCAAAGUCUCUUGUCGACUAUUUUGCUUUAAAGAUUGGUGCAUUUGCGUACAGAGUGCGCUGAAUCGAUUGAAUUCGCCGUUUGAAGGCUGCAAAGCAGACUACGUAAGUAGAACCUUUUGCAGUUGGAUGGCGGAUGAGUUUGAUUGUAAAAUGAAGUUGGUAUUUCGUGAAAGUGUUGAUCGAUUGAGGAGGUAUUUGUUUGAUGCAUGCGUUUGGCAUUUAUGUUUUCAGUCGAUUGGCGUUUUUACUCUACUUCACAUUCAGUGUUUAGUCGAUCACCUAUUUGACCCGUCUUGAAACACGGACCAAGGAGUUUAAGGUGUACGCAAGUCAUUGGCGGUUGAAAGUCAAAGGCGUAAUGAAAGUGGGACACUUGGUGUCUGCGGUGUGAGCUUGGUUUGUUUCGACGAAUCUAGCGCAACAUCGACCCAUGACUAGGACUUGUUCUGUUGUGGAGUCUGAGCGUACGCUUUGAGACCCGAAAGAUGGUGAACUAUGCCUGAACAGGACGAAGUCAGAGGAAACUCUGAUGGAAGUCCGAAGCGGUUCUGACGUGCAAAUCGAUCGUCUGAUUUGGGUAUAGGGGCGCAAGACUAAUCGAACCAUC